AUGAAUAGAGAAUGUACACCUUUCUUGUUGCUGUACACAUAUAUAUGCCCCCUCUGUUAUUUUUUAUUUGGUUGGGAAACAUGUGCUCCCGAAGGUGCUUCUACCCUAGUUUGGUCUUUUUCACUCGGUAAUGUGGUGAAACACAGGAACUAUAACAGUGUUUUUGCUCAUGUGUUUAUGUUUGCACCUUUUCCAAAAUUUUGCUUAAAUGAAUUUUCAUGUUUCCCGUGUGGGCAUCAAUACUUUUUUGGUGUUUUCCAUCUGAUGGAGAGGGCCAAGGAGAUGAUGACACAAAGGCACCAAAAACUUAUGAACUUAAGGAGGAGAUGCCCAUUUUGGAUUUUUCUCAUAAUGCAAGGAAACACUCAUAAAGAUCAAGACCAACGGCAACAAGAGUUAUAA
rnacentral:rRNA from 1 species